rnacentral:lncRNA from 1 species
AAGGGCUGUUCAGUCAGCUUGUGGUGAAUGCUGCCUGGCCUGGGACUCACAUGUCAGGGCAGUGGGCUACCCUCUGGCCUAAGGCAGGUACAGAAAUGCCAUCCAAGAGCCAAGUUCUGCAAAUGGGGCCCCAAGAGCUCGCUUGGUGCUCUAGCCGCCUGUGGCUGAGCUGGUAACUAAGGUGCAAGACAAAGUCCCCUUUACUUUUCCCUGCACUUUUCUUCUGCGGGAGGAGUCUUGCCUUAUAGGGAAUGUGCUGAGUCUCAUCUGAAGCCAGAAAGCCCCGGAGUCUCAUCCAAGGCCCACAGUGUACUACCUGGGUGUCCCUGCUGGUUAUUCAGGAUGCAAGGGCUCUUCAGUUAGCAGGUGAUGAAUCCUGCCAGGACUGAGUCCUUCCCUUCAAGGUAAUGGGUUUCCUUCUGGCCCAGGGCAUGUUUAGAAAUGUCAUCUGGAAGCUAGGGCCUGGGAAGGGGGCCCUCACAACUCUGACUGGUGCCCUACCCUGCUAUGGCUGAGCUGGUAUUCAAGGUGCAAGAUAAAGUCCUUUCUACCCUUCUCUCUCCUCUCCUCAAGUGGAAGGAAGGGGUCUCUUUUGGAGCUGUGAGCUGUGCAGCCUGCAGUUAGGGAAGGGGUGAUGCCAGCACUCACUAAGCUGCCCUGCUGGAGUCUCAGUGGGUUGUGUGACCUUUCUGUCCACUGGCUCUGGGGCCAGUUCAACACCAGAACUCAUCUAGGAGUUGCAGUCCUUGUGACCCAGACUGCCAUUCAACGUUAUUUAGGGCCACAGAGCACUUUAGCCCAUGGUGGCAAGGCGUGUAGGAACUCAAGCUCCAAUGGCUGGGGUUGGUGAUUCCCCUCUUGUUGGGGCUGGUUUAAAUGCUCCCUACAUAAGCAGGUGUCAGCUGAGUUUGGCCUGGUUUUGCUUUCCGCUAUAACAAGGCAGCACUGUGUUCUGUGCCUCACAACUGCUGUGUUCUCCCUCUCCCCAGUGCACAGAAUUACCCUCUGCACCACACCACUGCUGCUGGCAAUGAAGGAGGAGAGGCACUGGCGAUCCAAGGCUUUUUUCUACCUCUUCAAUGCCUCUUUCAGUGACAUGAAGUUAAAACCAGAUACUGAAUUUCAUCAAGUAACCAGGAAUGAUUAACCAGCAAAGAAGAGAAGAGACUGGGAGUUAUCUCCACACUCAAAUAAACUUUCCUCUAUUCUUCUGAGGGUAGGUCCAAGAGAUUAUCUGGGUGGUUUUAUCUGCAUAAAAGACCUUUGCUCACAGUGAAGUUCUGUCCCUCACCUGCCUACCACCUCCCCCAGUGCUCAGAGGAACUUCAUUCAAGGCCAUGAUUCUUUGGGUUCAUUCAUUUCCUCUGAAAAUCAGUUACUCCUACAAUCUCCCCUUCCCUGAUGAAGAAGAGUUGGGUUGCUGGGUAAUCAUUCUCCUGUGAUUAUCCUGUGCUAUGCUUAAAUAAAUGGCUUUUUUUCUCCCAUUA